rnacentral:tRNA from 1 species
GCCAGUGUAGUUCAGCCUGGUAGAACACGGCUUUCAUAAGGCCGCUGUCGGAGGUUCAAAUCCUCUCACUGGCA